rnacentral:rRNA from 1 species
UACAGAGGUCUCAAGCGUUGUUCGGAUUCAUUGGGCGUAAAGAGCGUGUAGGCGGCCAGGUAGGUCGGUUGUGAAAACUGGAGGCUCAACCUUCAGAGGUCGACCGAAACCAUCUGGCUAGAGUCCGGGAGAGGAGAGUGGAAUUCCUGGUGUAGCGGUGAAAUGCGCAGAUAUCAGGAAGAACACCCGUGGCGAAAGCGGCUCUCUGGAAACGGUACUGACGCUGAGAAGCGAAAGCAUGGGGAGCGAACAGG